UACAGAGGUCUCAAGCGUUGUUCGGAUUCAUUGGGCGUAAAGGGUGCGUAGGUGGCGCGCUAAGUCGGGUGUGAAAUCUCGGAGCUUAACUCCGAAAUUGCAUUCGAUACUGGCGUGCUUGAGGACUGGAGAGGAGUCUGGAAUUCACAGUGGAGCAGUGAAAUGCGUAGAUAUUGUGAGGAACACUAGUGGCGAAGGCGAGACUCUGGACAGUUCCUGACGCUGAGGCACGAAGGCCAGGGGAGCAAACAGG
rnacentral:rRNA from 1 species